ACAGAAAAACAUGAAUACUACCUUCACUUUACUCAACACAAAACACACGACUGCUAACAGUCAAUCUUUCGUCUCCCCCUCCACUUCCACUUCCCCCACUUUCUCUCUCCUCCAUUUUCUCUCUCUUCCGCCAUUAACACACUCACUUCAACUCCCUUUUCCAAACUAUAACUGCAAUUCCCCUCUUUCUCUGAUGCAACUCUAAAAUUCCACCCAAAAAAGCAAUGAAUCGCCGGCCAAGAGAGAACCCCGCGCGCGCGUUCCCAAACGCGCCGCCUCCUCAACCACCUUCUACAACCACAUACCAACCAUUCAACAUAAUCCCAAUCCACGACCUCUUAAUAGACCACCCAUCAACGCGCUACCCCGAAGUACGCGCCGCCUCUUCAGCUCUACGCGCCGUCGAAGACCUCCGUAAACCCCCGUUCCACACGUGGUACAACCACUACGACCUCCUUGACUGGUUGGGUCUAUUCUUCGGCUUCCAAAACGACAGCGUUCGGAAUCAACGGGAGCACCUCGUCCUUCACUUGGCUAACUCUCAAAUGCGGAUGACCCCACCUCCUCAAAACGCCGCCGUUUUGGACUUCAACCUUGUGCGAAAGUUUCGGAAAAAGCUUCUGGGCAACUACUCCUCUUGGUGCUCGUAUGUGGGGAAGAGGUCGCGGGUUCGAUUCCACGCAUUCAGAAAAGGUAACGAUGAACUCCGGCGGGAGUUACUGUAUGUAUCUCUUUACUUGCUAAUUUGGGGUGAGUCUGCUAAUUUGAAGUUCAUGCCUGAAUGUAUUUGUUAUAUUUUUCAUCAUAUGGCUCAUGAGCUUAACUUAAUUCUUGAUGACCGUGAUGACCCGGAAACGGGUAGACCUUAUUUGCCUAUAAUUAGUGGGGAGAAUGCGUUUUUGAACCAUGUUGUUAAACCACUUUACGACACGAUUAAGGAUGAGGUAGGGUUUAGUAAGGGUGGGAGGAAGCCACAUUCCGCGUGGCGGAAUUAUGAUGAUUUGAAUGAGUUUUUUUGGAGUAGGAAGUGUUUUAAGUCCCUUAAAUGGCCUUUGGAUUUGAGUAGUAAGUACUUUUCGACGGCCAGUAAAGGGACGAGGGUAGGGAAGACGGGGUUUGUGGAGCAACGGUCGUUUUGGAAUGUGUUUCGGAGUUUUGAUAGGUUGUGGGUGAUGUUGGUGUUGUUCUUACAUGCCAUGGUUAUUGUUGCCAUGGAGGGGACCACGUGGCCGUGGGAUGCAUUAGGGAGGAAGCAUGUUCAGGUGAAGUUGCUUACCGUUUUUAUCACGUGGGCGGGGCUUAGGCUUAUCCAGGCUGUCCUUGAUGCAGGGACUCAGUAUAGUUUGGUGACUCGAGAAAAGUGGUUGUUGGGUGCGAGGAUGGUACUUAAAAGCAUGGUGGCUGUGGCUUGGAUUGUUGUGUUCUCUGUGUUCUAUGCUAGGAUUUGGAGUCAGAAGGAUAGGGAUCGCCGCCUUCGUGGGAGGUGGUCAUUCGAAGCAGAUCAAAGGAUAUUUAUGUUUCUUAAGGCGGCUUUUGUGUUUGUCAUCCCGGAAUUGUUGGCAUUGGUUCUUUUUGUUCUUCCGUGGAUCAGGAACUUUGUAGAGGAGGUCAAUUUUCCUUUGCUGUACAUGGUAACAUGGUGGUUUCAUAGGCGAACGUUUGUGGGUCGUGGUGUGAGGGAAGGAUUGUUCAACAACAUUAAGUAUUCUUCAUUUUGGGUUAUAGUUUUGGCUUCAAAAUUUGCAUUUAGCUAUUUUCUUCAGAUCAGGCCGUUGAUAGCCCCGACAAGGGCCCUCUUGAGGAUGACGGGCGUUCCGUAUAACUGGCAUGAGUUUUUCAGUAACACAAACCGAAUAGCAGUUGUGUUGAUGUGGCUUCCUGUUAUUGUUAUUUAUCUUGUGGACAUACAGAUAUGGUAUUCUGUCUACUCCUCAAUGGUUGGUGCAUAUGUUGGAUUAUUCUCGCAUUUGGGUGAGAUUAGGAACAUUUGGCAGCUCAGGCUUAGGUUUCAGUUCUUCGCUAGUGCAAUGCAGUUCAAUCUCAUGCCAGAGGAGCAGCUUCCCACUGUUCCGGUGAUCAACAUCGUGCACAAGCUUAGGGAUGCAGUACAAAGGUUGAGGCUGCGUUAUGGAUUCGGUCAGCCCUACAAGAAGAUAGAAUCUAGCCAGGUGGAGGCAACACGCUUUGCGUUGUUAUGGAAUGAGAUAAUGAAAUAUAUGAGGGAAGAAGAUCUUCUUAGUGACCGGGAAGUGGAACUUCUGGAGCUUUCUCCUAAUUGUUGGGAUAUCAGGGUUAUUCGCUGGCCAUGUAUUCUACUGUGUAAUGAGCUUCUUCUCUCUGUUAGUCAGGCGGAAGAGACGGCAAAUAAUCAAGACAGGUGGCUUUGGUAUAAGGUAUGCAAGAGUGAGUACAGACGGUGUGCAAUCAUAGAGGCCUAUGAUAGCAUCAAAUAUUUGCUGCUUCAUCAAGUUGUUAAGUAUGGUACCGAAGAACAUUCAAUUGUUACUAGAGCUUUCCUCGAGAUGGAACACUAUAUGGGGAUUGAGAAGUUUACUGCAUUCUAUAAGUUGACUUUGCUACCGAAGAUUCACAAGAAAUUGGUAACUCUUACAGAGCUCCUGCUGAGUCCCCAAAAGGAUACUAAUGGAAUAAUAAAUGUGUUGCAGGCGUUAUAUGAGCUUUGUGUUCGUGAAUUCCCGAGAGUUAAGAGGACGGUGGAUGACUUGAGGGCGGAAGGUUUGGCACUUCAAAAUCCCGCCACAGAUGCAGGAUUUCUUUUUGAGAAUGCUGUUGAACUUCCUGAUGAGGAGGAUGUGUUCUAUUACAGACAGCUGCGUCGUUUGCAUACGCUUAUGACUUCUAGGGAUUCUAUGCACAAUGUACCUGUAAAUAAAGAGGCCAGAAGACGCAUUGCCUUCUUCAGCAACUCUGUGUUCAUGAACAUGCCCCACGCUCCUCAGGUGGAGAAGAUGAUGGCCUUCAGUGUAAUGACUCCUUACUAUGAUGAAGACGUAAUUUACGGGACCAGCAAACUCCAAAGCCCGAACGAGGAUGGCAUUUCCAUCUUGUUCUAUCUGCAGAAAAUUUAUGAGGAUGAAUGGAAUAAUUUCAUGGAGCGGAUGAGGAGGGAAGGCUUAGAAGACGAGAGAGAAAUUUGGACGACGAAGGUCAAGGAACUACGUCUUUGGGCGUCUUACCGAGGCCAGACUCUUUCUCGUACUGUGAGGGGGAUGAUGUAUUAUUAUCAUGCGCUCAAGAUGCUCGCUUUUCUGGAUUCAGCAUCGGAAGUGGAUAUAAGGGCCGGAAGUCAACAAAUUGCCUCACAUGGUUCAUUGACUCUGAGUAACAACUGGGAUGGAUUAGGCUCAAUCAGAGUUCCAUCUUCACGCAACCUUGGAAGAGCACCUAGUGGUAUGAGUAUCCUAUACAAAGGCCAUGAGUUUGGGACUGCUAUGAUGAAAUUCACUUAUGUGGUAACUUGUCAGGUAUAUGGGAUCCACAAAAUGGCAGGGGACUCGCGUGCUGAGGAGAUCUUGUAUUUAAUGAAAAAUAACGAGGCUCUUCGAGUUGCUUAUGUUGACGAGGUACACCUGGGGAGGGAUGAAGUGGAGUAUUAUUCGGUUCUUGUCAAGUAUGAUCAGCAGUUGCAGAGAGAAGUGGAGAUAUAUAGAAUCAAGCUGCCUGGUCCUGUGAAGUUGGGAGAAGGAAAACCCGAGAAUCAGAAUCACGCAAUUAUCUUUACUCGAGGUGAUGCUCUUCAAGCAAUUGACAUGAAUCAGGACAAUUACUUUGAGGAAGCUCUUAAAAUACGCAACCUCUUGGAAGAAUUCAACAUAUACUAUGGGAUCAGGAAGCCAACCAUUCUCGGAGUUAGAGAAAACAUCUUCACAGGUUCUGUGUCCUCUCUUGCUUGGUUCAUGUCUGCUCAGGAGACGAGUUUUGUCACUCUUGGUCAACGUGUUCUGGCAAAUCCUCUCAAGGUGCGUAUGCACUAUGGUCACCCAGAUGUGUUUGACAGAUUUUGGUUUCUUACUCGUGGCGGAGUGAGCAAGGCUUCUAAAUUGAUAAACUUGAGUGAGGACAUAUUUGCUGGUUUCAACUGCACGCUUCGAGGUGGUAAUAUAACACAUCACGAGUACAUACAGGUGGGUAAAGGAAGGGAUGUAGGGUUGAAUCAGAUUGCCAUGUUUGAGGCUAAGGUUGCUAGUGGGAAUGGGGAGCAAGUACUCAGCAGGGAUGUGUAUAGGUUGGGCCAUCGGCUGGAUUUCUUCCGAAUGCUUUCAGUCUUCUAUACCACAGUUGGUUUCUAUUUCAAUACAAUGAUGGUGGUGAUUUCUGUCUAUACCUUUUUGUGGGGCCGACUGUAUCUUGCUCUUAGUGGUGUGGAGGAUCAUGCCGUUAGAAAUAGCAGCAAUAAUGCAGCCCUAGGUGCUAUUGUGAACCAGCAGUUUAUCAUUCAAAUCGGCCUCUUCACUGCUCUCCCGAUGAUUGUAGAGAAUUCUCUGGAGCAUGGUUUUCUUCCAGCAAUAUGGGACUUCUUGAAAAUGCAGUUGCAGCUAGCGUCCUUGUUUUACACCUUCUCAUUGGGAACUAGAUGCCAUUAUUUUGGCCGAACAAUUCUUCAUGGAGGUGCUAAAUACCGACCUACUGGACGUGGUUUCGUUGUGGAGCAUAAGAGUUUCUCGGAGAACUAUAGACUUUAUUCUCGAAGCCAUUUUGUGAAGGCGAUUGAGCUUGGGGUAAUAUUGAUUGUUUAUGCUUCUCACAGCCCACUGGCCACGAAUACAUUUGUAUACAUAGUCAUGUCAAUCUCUAGUUGGUUCCUUGUAGUUUCAUGGAUUAUGGCGCCAUUUGUUUUCAACCCAUCUGGCUUUGAUUGGUUGAAGACUGUGUAUGACUUUGAAGAUUUCACAACCUGGAUAUGGUACGGUAGUGGAGUAUCCACUAAGGCAGAGAGGAGCUGGGAAACCUGGUGGUAUGAAGAGCAGGAACAUCUAAAAACUACUGGUUUAUGGGGGAAGUUAUUGGAGAUCAUAUUAGACCUACGUUUCUUCUUUUUUCAGUAUGGCAUUGUAUACCAGCUCCAUAUUUCUGGUGGCCAUACCUCUAUUGGCGUGUAUUUGCUUUCUUGGCUCUACUUUUUUGGACUUGUUGCGAUAUGUGUAAUCAUAGCAUUUGCUCGGGACAAGUAUGGUGCUACAAAACAUAUCUACUUCAGGAUGAUUCAGUUCUCUGUCAUAUCUGUCACUGUAUUGGUGAUGAUCAUUCUAUUUAGAUUCACGAGGUUUCAAGUUCUCGAUCUCCUGACUAGUUCUCUGGCAUUCAUCCCUACGGGCUGGGGCAUUCUUUUAAUUGCUCAGGUGCUCCGUCCCUUUCUGCAAACAUCUAUUGUCUGGGAUACUGUGGUUUCCUUGGCUCGACUCUAUGAUUUAACAUUUGGCAUCAUCGUUAUGGCUCCCGUGGCUUUCUUGUCUUGGAUGCCUGGAUUCCAGUCAAUGCAAACUAGGAUCCUUUUCAAUGAAGGUUUCAGCAGAGGCCUCCAAAUUUCUCAACUUCUUACUGCCAAAUGAUGAAUCACUUUUUUUAAUGUGAAUAGAGAUUUUGCACCAUCGGAAGUGUAUGGAAGUGAAUGUAGAUAGACAUGCAAUAUGUUUCUUUGAUUGAGGAAGCUGCUGUUUGUAUCACUUGAUUCACCCUUCACCGCGAACCUAAAUGAAGGAGGAAGUUAUCUUAGAGCAUCCAAUUAUGGCGUAACACUAAAUUUCUGCAUUACUAUUUUCAUGAUUUUGUCAAACGACUGGCUGGAUAGUAUCAGUUCUUCGACAAGCAAUAUAUCUCACAAUCUCUCCUCAGUCUUUUUUGGACUAAAUCUGGUUGCAAGUCCUAUCUGAAGUCUGAUUGUAAUGCCUAAGGAUAAUUUAUCGCCAGGUAGUUGUUUUAAGCGUUUAAUUGCACUAGGAGUUUUGUUGUGUUAUGUGCUGUGUUUUAGGUGUGUCCUCCUGUAGUAGUUUUUCUCACACACACACUACAAAAAGUGGAGCAUUGCUAGAUUUGUUGUAAAUAAUUUUAGGAUUGUAUCUAUGCAUUUGAAGAAGGAACUAGUCCUUCCGUUUGGAAUUAGUGUAACAUUAUGAUUAUGAUAAGAUUUCACAAAAAAAAAAGGCUGUUGCGUUAUUUCAAUCCAUUUGCUGGGAUUUUCACGUCACUCUUCUCUGUUGCAUUUCUUGUCUCUUGAUUUCACAGUUUACUUUUGUUUUUCUGAACAUGAGAGUUCCUGAUUCAAGUUUGUAAUGGACGUUGUGGUUAUGGACUUAUGGAUUUGUUUCUCUGCAAAGGCAGGAAUAGUAUUUAAUUGUCUUGCAUGUUUGGGAAAGCAAGGGGAUAUAAUUCAAAUAUUUUCCCAAACUUCAAUCUUAACUAUAAAAUGUCUGCUUAGAUUCUGGUAACGCCCUUUUAUAGUGGCAACAUAUUAGAUUCUUUUUGUUUCUUCUGUCAUUCAGGUAAAUCAGGUCUUCAGUGUUGUAACAGUGUUUCUGCAACUUUUACGCUUACAACUAAUACACAGCAAGCCUUGCAGUAGUAGAAGUCAUGUCCUAUGUGGUUGUUUCAACGUGAAGUUCAAUGAUACAACUAAGAGUCUAAGAGUAUAACAGUGCCUUACAGACUUACAGUAGUAAGGUCUAUCUUUAGGUCAUCAGUAGAAGUUAUGUUCUAUGUGGUUGUUUCGGCAUGAAGUUCAGUGAUACAAUUGAGUAUAAUAGUGCAUCAGAAAGUUCUUUCGGCUGUGGAUGAAGCUGGGAUUUGGAGAGUAGCGGAUAUCAAUUGGCAACAAAGGUCUUCUUAUAGUCUGCUCUAAAGACAGGAGAAAUUCAAAACAACAGUCAGCUCAGUCGGUGUAGCUGCUUCAAAGUCGAACAUAUCUUGUGUUUCAGAAAUCUAGUAUUGAUAGUCUGGAAAACCACCUCCGGAGAAUGCAGAUGAGUAGCCUAUCAGGAAAUGUUCAGCUGCUUACGUCUGAGCUGAUAAACAGUGUUGACACCUGUUUGUUUGCUGAUCUACGGCUCUACGUGAAAUGUGUGAUGCUUAUAGACGAAAUCCUCCCGGUGGAUGCUACCUGAGAUACUUUGAAACCAUUUUUGUUACUUGAUCAAACUAUAGCGAGGUGCAUUAAGUAAGAUGCAAAACAAGUUAGUGUAUUUUUAGCUAUCUUAUUUGCAACCAUGUUUUAUGGCAGUCAUCCAUUACGCACAUUCAUUCA